ensembl:lncRNA
CCCCGAAUCAAGUCCUUACAUUUUAACCUGCAUUGCUGAGAAAUUCCUUCUCUGGUCUCAGACGAUUCAGCGCAUGCCAAGAAUGCUGGCUCCGUUUAGGAAUUUGAAGAAAACAACCAUUGGUCCGUCUCCUGUUCUUCAGAGCCGCCCAGAGUUCUCUUGCAUUCCCUAACAUCUGGGAUUGCAACGACCAUGCAAAUUGUCCUCGCUCCUCUGCUCUCCGUGCUCCCCACACCCGGCCCCCUCCCUCCUGUCUUCUCAGCUUCUGACAGGUGUUAGCAAGAAUCUAAAGUUCAAAAGUUUCUCCAGGUCAGGAAUCCAGGAGCAGCUCAGCUGGAUGGUUCUGGCUCAGGAUCUCUCAUGAAGCCGGAAUUAGAUAUUGGCUGUGGCUGUGGUCAUCUAAAGGCCUGACGUGGGCUGGCGGCAUCUUUACUACCUGGCUAUUGGCGGGAGGCAGCGUUGCUCACCACGUGGACUCCUCCACGGGGCUGCUUGAGUGUUCUCACAACGUGGCAGCUGGCUUCCCCCCCCGCCCCCCCCAGCAGGCGAUCCAAAAGACAGCAAGGCAGAAGCCGCAGCAUCUUUAUGACGCAGCCCCAGAAGUCAGGCAUCGUCAUUUCCUCAACGUCCUAUUGGUCAUUGGGCGAGCCCUUUUCAGUGUGGGAGGGGCCAUGCAAAGGCGUGAAAAUCAGGAGACGAGAUGCCUGGGGGCCACGUUGGAGGCUGGCUGUGACAGUACUCUUUUCAGUUCCAUUUGCAGAUGAGACUUGAAGCAGCGGCCAGAAGCUACGAAGGCAAAUCGAUGGCGUGUUGUGCAGCCGCUCGGCGACCAUGUUUGGGGACGUGAAUUUCCAAGACGGUAGAUGACUGUCAAAUUCCAAACAAAGCGAAGGCUGAUUGUUCCAGGAUUUCCGUGGCCGUUAACGUCGUCGAAUAUUCUGUGUAUGACAACGUUGUACCAAAUGCACUUUAUGGUUAUACACAAAACAGAGCCAUCCUGGUGGGUGGGAAGUGGUGUCUCACCGUGGUUUCCAUUGGCAGUUCCCUGGUGACUAAUGAUGUGGAGCGUCUAACUACAGCACUUUGACGACCAAUGUUAACAAAUCCCUUAAGCAAAAGGCCUUUGUCUUCCAGAAAGAGAAACGAGACUCUCCAAGGUGCCUGUUAGGCACUGAAUGUUGGUGUCCCCACCCACCCCACCUCCCCACUCAAAUUCCUAUGUUGAAAUCCUACCGCCCGCCAUGAUGCCGUUAGGAGGUGAGGCCUUUGGGAGAUGAUUAGGUCAUGAGAGUGGAGCCCCCAUGAAGGGGAUCAGUGCCCUUAUAAAGGAGACUUCAGAGAUCUCCCUGGUCCCUUCCGCCAUGUGAGGACACAGCAAGAAGAUGCCCAUCUGCAAACCAGGAAGAGCAUCCUCGUAGACACCACAUCUGCCCGCACCUUGAUCUUGGCCCUCCCAGCCUCCAGAGCUGUGAGAAAUAAAUGUUUGUUGUUGAAGCCGCCCAGCCUACAGUAUUUUUGUUACAGAAACCCGGAUGGAUGAAGACAUCACAUAUGGUUCCGAUUUCGUCCCACUUGCUUUUUCUCCUAG